AUUGAACGCUGGCGGCAGGCCUAACACAUGCAAGUCGAGCGGAUGAAGGGAGCUUGCUCCUGGAUUCAGCGGCGGACGGGUGAGUAAUGCCUAGGAAUCUGCCUGGUAGUGGGGGAUAACGUCCGGAAACGGGCGCUAAUACCGCAUACGUCCUGAGGGAGAAAGUGGGGGAUCUUCGGACCUCACGCUAUCAGAUGAGCCUAGGUCGGAUUAGCUAGUUGGUGGGGUAAAGGCCUACCAAGGCGACGAUCCGUAACUGGUCUGAGAGGCUGAUCGGUCACACUGGAACUGAGACACGGUCCAGACUCCUACGGGAGGCAGCAGUGGGGAAUAUUGGACAAUGGGCGAAAGCCUGAUCCAGCCAUGCCGCGUGUGUGAAGAAGGUCUUCGGAUUGUAAAGCACCUUAAGUUGGGAGGAAGGGCAGUAAGUUAAUACCUUGCUGUUUUGACGUUACCAACAGAAUAAGCACCGGCUAACUUCGUG
rnacentral:rRNA from 1 species